GAGGACCGGGUGGCCUGAGCCCUGGAGAAUAUUUGUCUCCUGAAUAUUUGCCUCCAUGUCUGUGUACUGCCCCAUUCAGACUGGCUGUGGCCCAGAUAAAGGUUUUGUGUUGAAUUUCUCCAGGAGGGACCCCUGAAUUCCCCCACAACUUCAUGCUCCAACUCCCACCUGACACCUGCACUCUGAAGAAGGUAGCUCUAAGGGCUCUCAAGUUAAAAAGGCAGCAGCACUUUCAUUUUUAAAAGUCACUUUGAGCAUCCACUGUGAUGAUUAGCAUUGCCUCAAAGGAACUUUAUUUAGUGUCUGGCUACAGACAUCCUCUAGUUUCUUUUUGGUGUGCUAUUUCUUCCCGUUUUACUUCUGUACCCCUUUUCAUUUCUGUUUGGACUUUUCCUGACACAACAUUUAUCCUUUCAUUGUCCUUUAUUUCAGUCAGAUUUACACUUUUCAAGGACAAGAAUAUUUUAAAGUUAUGGUGAAAACACUUACGUUCUACUAUUUUUUAAAACUGCAAGUCUGCAAUUCAGUAACUAGGAGCAAAAUAUAGUACAACAGACCUCUAGAACUUUUUUAUAUUGUCUAACUGACACUUGGUUCUCCUGGACCAGCAUCUCCCCAUAUCAUCCUCUUCUUAGUCCCUGACAGCCACCAUUCUACUCUGCUAUGAGUUUGACUAGUUUUAAUACUUCAUCUAAGUGGAAUCAUGCUGUAUUUGUCCUUCUAAGACUGGUUUAUUUCAAUUAGCAUGAUGUUCACAAGGUUCAUCUGUAUUGUUACAUAUGGCAAGGUCACCAUAUUUUUAAAGGAUAAUAAUAUUUAAUUUAUGUAUAUGCCACAUUUUUAUCCAUUUAUCUACUGUCUGACAUUAGGUUGUUUCCACAUCUUGAUUGUUGUGAAUAGUACUGCAACACACAAGGGAGUGCAAAUAUCUCAUUGAGAUCCCAAUUUCAAUUAUUUUGGAUAAAUACCUAGAAGUGGGAUUGUUGUAUUAUACAAUAGUUCUAUCUGUAAAUUUUUGAGGAAGGUCCAUACUGCUUACUCUAAUGGAUGCAACAUUUUGCAUUCCCACAACCAUGUUCAAGGGUUCCAAUUUCUCCACUUCCUCACCAAUACUUGACUGUCUUUUAUUUUCAGACAGUAGCCAUCUUCAUAGAUGUGAGGUAAAAUCAAAUCGCAAUAUCUCAUUCCUCUGAUGACUGGUGAGUUGAGCACAAAGGACCUUGAAGAGACCUAAGACCAUUUUGAGAAGUUAGAACAAACCUGAAGGUAUAACACCUCCUGGGUUCUGAAUAUACUACAAAUCUUCAGUAAUUAAAACAGUGUGAUUCUGUCAUUAAGACAUAAAUACAAACUAAUGGAACACAACAGAGAACCCAGAUAUAAGGCCAUGAAUGUACAGUCAACUGAUCUUUGUCAAGGAUACCAAGCUCACACAAUGAGUAAUGAAAUAAAGAUAAAUGUUCAAUUAAAAUAUUUCUACAAAGGAUUAUGUUAAUAACUUAUGGUUAAACAUUUUAGCAACUCAUUACUACCAUGAAAAUCAGUAGGACUGAUUAGAAGGAAACUGUUUUUAAGCCAGAGAAGAUGAAAUGUUACUUAGCACUAAUUCAUAGUUGAGGAAGUGAAAUGUGAUAGUGUUUGAGUGGUGUCGUUCCUUCCCUGGUCACCAUCAGUGGUCCUGUUGCUGAGCUGCCCUCUGUGCAGCUAGGAAGCAGCUGGCUGAAAGCCCCAGGAGAUCCUGUACACUGGGUAUAGAAGAACUUAAUUUUCUAUUAAACUAUAAACAUAUUCACAUCUGAU
rnacentral:lncRNA from 1 species